rnacentral:rRNA from 1 species
CUGAUCAGGGAAGACUACCCGCUGAGUUUAAGCAUAUCACUAAGCGGAGGAGAAGAAACUAACCAGGAUU